GUCGAGAAUCUCUCACAAUGGGGGCAACCCUGAUGGAGCGACGCCGCGUGGAGGAUAAGGUCUUCGGAUUGUAAACUCCUGUCAUGCGUGAACAAGGUUGCUUGGAUAAUACCUGAGCAAAUUGAUGGUAGCGCAAGAGGAAGAGACGGCUAACUCUGUGCCAGCAGCCGCGGUAAUACAGAGGUCUCAAGCGUUGUUCGGAAUCACUGGGCGUAAAGGGUGCGUAGGUGGCGUGGCAAGUCAGAUGUGAAAGCCCGGGGCUCAACCUCGGAACUGCAGCCGAUACUGCCAUGCUAGAGUACUGGAGGGGUGACUAGAAUUCUCGGUGUAGCAGUGAAAUGCGUAGAUAUCGAGAGGAAUACCAAAGGCGUAGGCAGGUCACUGGACAGUUACUGACACUGAGGCACGAAGGCCAGGGGAGCGAACGGGAUUAGAAACCCUGGUAGUCC
rnacentral:rRNA from 1 species